UACGUAGGGUGCAGGCGUUAAUCGGAAUUACUGGGCGUAAAGCGUGCGCAGGCGGUUAUGCAAGACAGAGGUGAAAUCCCCGGGCUCAACCUGGGAACUGCCUUUGUGACUGCAUAGCUAGAGUACGGUAGAGGGGGAUGGAAUUCCGCGUGUAGCAGUGAAAUGCGUAGACAUGCGGAGGAACACCGAUGGCGAAGGCAAUCCCCUGGACCUGUACUGACGCUCAUGCACGAAAGCGUGGGGAGCAAACAGG
rnacentral:rRNA from 1 species